ACAGACAUUGGUGAUUACAACAUCAAGUUACGUGCAAUUCUUCGUUUCCUAGAGGAAGGGAACAAGGUAAAAAUUACCUUGCGCUUCCGUGGUCGUGAAAUGGCUCACCAACAAUUAGGUCUUGCUCAAUUACAAAAAGUUGAAGCAGAUGUAAUUGAAUACGGUACAGUCGAACAAGCACCAAAAAUGGAAGGUCGUCAAAUGGGCAUGCUCAUUGGACCGAAACGUAAAAAAUAAGCACGCGUUGAUCCAUUGAUAAAAAAAGCACUGCCAAUGCAGUGCUUUUUUUUAUGCCUGAGGAUUUGGUUUAAAAUUCUAAUACUGGGACAGGACUUGGAUA
rnacentral:misc_RNA from 1 species